rnacentral:rRNA from 1 species
ACACCGGCAGCUCAAGUGGUGGCCAUUUUUAUUGGGCCUAAAGCGUUCGUAGCCGGUUUGAUAAGUCUCUGGUGAAAUCCCGCAGCUUAACUGUGGGACUUGCUGGAGAUACUAUUAGACUUGAGGUCGGGAGAGGUUAGGGGUACUCCCAGGGUAGGGGUGAAAUCCUAUAAUCCUGGGAGGACCACCUGUGGCGAAGGCGCCUAACUGGAACGAACCUGACGGUGAGUAACGAAAGCCAGGGGCGC